AGGGAUAGCAUUGGGAGAUAUACCUAAUGCUAGAUGACGAGUUAGUGGGUGUAAUGCACCAGCAUGGCACAUGUAUACAUAUGUAACUAACCUGCACAAUGUGCACAUGUAGAGUAUAAUAAAAAAAAAAGGCAAAACCAUAUUAGAAAAACAGAAAAGAAAAAGAAAAAAAAAAAAAAAGACUUAAAAUCUCUCUUGGGGCCAGAUACAGAAAGCAUUUUCCUCACCUGUUUUCUUUUCAAAACAGUAGAAAAACUGUUUUUAAAGAAGGGCAAUUAAAGUAGACUAGCCCUGAAUGAUUUUUCUAAUUGUUACAGAAAAUCUGAUGGUUUUCUUACCUUGAAGUCAUGUGUACUAGGUCUUCCAAUUCUCUCUGAAGGGGAAGCCACAUGGCUUCCUAGAUCCUUAAGAAAGGAUAACCCUUAUUGAUAAGCCUCUGUUUAUGACAUGACUUGCCCAGGGUCACACAGAAAGGCAGCAGUAGAGACAAAAAUUACAUACAGAUUGCCUGUCUCGCAGUUUCCCUUCCCUGUUGUUGGAGGAACGUAAUGAGGGUAAGAAAGGAAGGGGUCUCCAGAGAGAUGUAAUGGCUAUUUCUAAGCCAUUUUUAAAAUAAGCUUCAGAUGAUCAAAAGUUCGAGGUCAGAGGAUAAUUUAGGCCAUCAGAAGUUGGCCAGAUUGGAGUUAGGUCCUCUAGAGAAUUCUGUCCUUUGGCAGUCAAAGACAGUGAUGGACGCCAAGCCAGGCCUGUGAUUUGGGCACAGGUCCAGGCUCUAGCCCCCUCUGGAGCCGGGCUCGGAUCUUCACAAGGAGCUCUGCAGCAAGCAGGGUCUGUGCUUGAACAUACGCUUUUAAUCAGAGUCGCUGGAACCUGGAUGGGGCCUCAAACAUAAUUUAAUUCAGUCCUCUCACUUUGCAGAUGUAGAAAUUGAAGGCCAGAUUGAAGGGUGGGCUAUGGAAUGCUUGCACAAGGUCAUCUGUCAAUUUAGGGAACAGCAUGGUAAGGUGAAAAGGGAUCGCUUUGGUGUCAUUGCUGGGUUCCAAAUCCCCGCUCUGCCGCGUAUUAGCUAAGAGACCCCAGGUAAGUCACUUGACCUCCCUGACUAUCAAUGUCCCAGUGUGUAAAGUCGGGACCAUAAUUACAAUGCCUGAAUCACUGGAUUGCUAUCAUUAAAUAAGAUGAAAAAUAAGAAAGUGAUUUGUAAACAGGAAGUCACUUUUCAUACCACAAUGUUAAUAUUAAAUUAUAAUAAAACCCAACCCAAUAAAAGCAGUCCACUUUUCUGAAUGCCCACCACAUGCCAAGUGCCAAGUACUUCACAUACCUUGUUUCUUUUAAUUCACACAAUGAAUGACCCGAGGAGAACGCUCAACUAACAACCAUGUACUUGAACCAGGGGUUUAAAUCAGUCAUACACACAGCAGGAUUUAAAUACUAUCUUCCACAUGGUACCUUCAGAAACGUGGGCCUGGGAUUUCAUUCAUGGGAUACACAUGGCUCCCCCCCCCGUACCCCCUGCCCCCUCUGUAUUGAGUGGGUGGCUCUCACCUGUGGAGGGCAGGGUGCUCUCAUGUUUGUUUAUACCAGAACAUAGAAUAGAACUUGGUAAAGGUAAAUGCUCAUUUAAGAAAUAAAAAUACAUCAAAUAAAGUAAAAAGCAACCUGGUAGAUAGCAUUUCCUUUUCAUUUUUUUAAAAUAGCUUUAUCGAAGGAUAAUUGAAUGGAAAUGGUCAUUAAUAUAUAUCCAGAAUCUAUUAACGUUCGGCUAAGUUGGGGGGAACAUAGGGAUGUUUUAAGGCAACUAAGCGAUUUAGAAAACUUAAGUUCUUUAAUGUUUUCAAAGAAAAGGUUGAGUCUGUAAGAUAUAAUCUGGCAAUUUGUAUAGAACUCUUUCUACUAGCUUCCAGGAAUCCCUGCUCUGUGAGCUUUUUGCCAAACUGAUUGAUCUUCCCAGACAUAAUCUGGGGACCUUCUCUAAUAUGCCCCUGUCCCGCUGUCAGCUUAAUACACUCUUUUGCUAAGUAAUAGGGUAUUGCUAGUGUUCUUCCAGGUUCUCUUCAUAAAGGCGCUUCUCUGUCAAUAAGAGACUGUGUUUAUAUUCUUGUGCACAAAUAACUGGCCCUCUUCUCAGUGUUUGAGAUCCCUCAUCUUGCUCCGACUGUUGCAGCCUUUUCUCGCCAUGACAGACUGCCAUACUACAUGGCCUUCUCCCAUCGAAAGGGUCUAGCAUGUGGACCACUGAACUGCCAAGGAAGCAGUCCAACUGCCCUGAGGCUGCCAUGCUGUGAGGAAACCCAAAGUGGUCCAUAAAGAAGGAUUAUGUGGAGGGACCCUGAAAGAUGCCUGGCCUGCCUCCCACUGCUCCAGUACCCUCCUCCCCAACUCUUCCAGCUUCAGCCACUGUCUGCAACCACAUGAGAGCUCCCGAGCCAUAAAUGCCCAGCCUAGUCUCCCCUAAGUUUCUAACCCACAGUUUAAACUACUAAGCUUGGGUUGCUUUGUUAUGCCUCAAUAGCAACUGGGACAUGCCCCUUUCUCCAUUCUGCUGCUGAAUCUGGUUACAGCAGCAGAGACACAUGCCAGGGGCAUCUCUAGUAACAGGGGAAAGCCCUUUGGGAGUAGAUUCAAAGUGGGGGGUCAAGACAAAUUAUUCAGCGAGCCUGACUUUUAGAACUCAAGGGGCACCAAGUGUGGUUGGUGGGAGCAAUGCCCUGGAUGGAUAAGCCAAGCUCUUGUGUCCUGGCAGAUAAACAAGGUGAACCCUCAAUCCGUGUAGCAGGAGUUUCCAGACAAACUCACUUUGCAUGGAAGGACACUAACCCUUCCAGAUGUGUCUAAUUUUGUGGAAAGGAGAAGGUUGGGAGCUCCGGAGCUAAUAGGAUGCACAGGAGGAAGAUACGGAGCACAGUGGCUGAGACCUGACAGCUCUCUGAAGACUCCACUUCACCGCCGCCACUCCACUUCACCGCCGCCAGCCCUGGCCCACACCUUUCUUAAGAGCAACUUAAGAAAUUUGCAACUUCAAAACCAGACCAGAGGGUGAGAAGAACUAGCCAACCCAUCCUCCAAGUGUGACUGAGCGGUCAGGCUGCCCCCACCUCAUUUGAGUGAGACCGCCAAGAGCCUUCACGUGGGACCUAGACCACAGGAACACAAUUAGGAAGUACUCCCUGCCCCUCACAACGGCCAUCCUCACCAGGCAGCGGGGACAGAAGGGAGGCAGGUGCAUUCAAAUCGCGCUGGCCUGAAGAAGGGAAAUGAAGCGCUAAACUCAGCUCGGUCCCACAAUGAGUCAGAAUGGGGGCAGGGAGGAGCGCCCAAAGCCCUCUGGCCCUUCUCCUUGGGAACUAGUCCUGCACAUGGCCACCAGCCCUGGGAAUCACAGCAUUUGGCAUGGGUCUCAGUUCUUGUACUCCAUUGCUGUGGGACAAGAGACACUAAACUUCCAGGUUUUCUCUCAAUAGCUGGCUUCACCUGUAAACACAGUGGCAUAUUAGACAAGCUCUCUUCAUCUGAAAUGUGCCCACCCCCCCAACAAUCCCACCUUUGCCUGCUCAAACCUGACUCAUGCUUCAUGUUCAUAUUCAACUUCUUCCCUUGUGCUUCUAACUAAAUCUAGGAAUCUCCUUGUUCUUAGAACCACCUUUAUCCCUUCUCAGAUAUUUAUGUAUAUCAGUUUUUAAAUGAAAAUAAUUUCUCACCUAUUAAGCUGGGCACCCUGCUAAUCACUUUCACACUUGCUGUUUAAUUUGCUGUUUUGCUCCCUAAUAUUAGACAAAAACUCCUUGAAAACAGAGACUGUGUCUGACUCAUCGCUCCUUCCCCCACCAGGCACUAUCCUCUCAACAGUUACUGGAUUAAUAAUUUUUUAAAAAAUUUUAAAAAACUAUUUUAAAAAAAUAUAAAUUAGUAAAAACUGUGGCAUUAGCAUGAAAUGACUAAUAUGUUCAAGUUCCACUUGAGGAAGUUAGGGUGAUGUCAGUGAAAACCUGCCCUUAGAGGAUCCCUGCCUGCAUGAGGGACUCUGGGACUGCAAA
rnacentral:lncRNA from 10 species